UAAAUAAAACAUAAAAUGUAGGAACAUGAUAACUAAAUCUUUCGGAACCAUGGUGGUUCAUAUUCCUGCAAUUAAAGGCCACUCCUCCAGCCAACCACUAUUCUUCCGGCCAGCCACCCACUGGUUCCACCGGUUUUUAAAGGAUGAUAGUAAUCAAUAAGGACAUAAGUUAAAUGCAGUGGGAUCCUUGGCUUAUCAGAAAAGGCUGGUUCAAGCUUUGGUUUGGUUCGCGUACUAUCAUUUCAACCACAAAUGAUAGAUGCUGUGACUGUAAGGCUUCUCCAGCUUUAUGCUUGAUCCUAUAUCACCACCUGUAUCAACAGAAUCCAUAGUGCUUAACUUAGAGAAGCUAAAGCUAUCAUCGUUGGAAGUUCAUUCAACUUCAGCAUUCAGGUACUUUUCAUGAGGUCAAAAAGGAACAGUUAAGGAGUUAAGGAGUACUAAAGAGUCUCUUUUCAAGAAAUUUCAGAUUUCGUUAAUGUUGGCCUCUGUUACCAGGAGACCAAGGGAGGUGAUUAUAAUUAUUGAGGUGUCGAACUCUCUGAAGGUUAAAUUUGCGAUAUGUGCAAAUGUUACAUAUGUCAGAUUAGUCACAAGGAGAAUGGCUUGAGGACAGUGACAAUGAAGAAAAUAUGUACAUGGAUUGAAUCAUGGGAAAAAGAAGCUAACAUUAAGACAUGAAGCCAAUAGAUACAAACACGGCUGUUGAAGUCAAGCUAUACCGUAAGUAUAGGAGAUUGUGGCACAUUAUUAGUCAAAUAUGUAGAUGUAUGUCAAAAAUCACAAGAGACUUCAUGUCUGGCAGCUACAUGCCUAAAUGUAUACAUUCCAUUCUAUAAAGUGCGUAAGGCCCAUGUUUUAUGUGUAGAUGAAUCUUGUGGUAUGAGGUGCUAUAGAUGUAUAAAGACCCUGUUUUAUGCACAAAUUUGAUGAUUGAGAUGUAUAUCAAUUGUUGAAUGAUGUAAUAAGUAUUAUUUCGUUGCACUCUUACUUA